rnacentral:rRNA from 1 species
GACGAACGCUGGCGGCGUGCUUAACACAUGCAAGUCGAGCGGUAAGGCCCUUCGGGUACACGAGCGGCGAACGGGUGAGUAACGCGUGGGUGACCUGCCUCUAGCUCUGGGAUAAGCCUGGGAAACUGGGUCUAAUACCGGAUAUGACUCCACGGCGCAUGUUGUGGGGUGGAAAGCCUUGUGUGGCUAGAGAUGGGCCCGCGGCCUAUCAGCUUGUUGGUGGGGUGAUGGCCUACCAAGGCGACGACGGGUAGCCGGCCUGAGAGGGCGACCGGCCACACUGGGACUGAGACACGGCCCAGACUCCUACGGGAGGCAGCAGUGGGGAAUCUUGCGCAAUGGGCGAAAAGCCUGACGCAGCGACGCCGCGUGAGGGAUGACGGCCUGGUGUAAGCGUCUUC